GAUAUUGAAAAGGAGGAUGCUUUCCGAGGUCUAUGUGCAAUGGCUCGAGCAAAUCCUUCAGGAGCUCUAAGUUCACUAGUUUUCAUGUGCAAAGCUAUAGCAAGUUGNNNNNNNNGCAUGAAAUAAGGAGCAAAGAGCUGCACAAUGAAGUUUGUCAGGUGUUGCAUGGUUAUAAACAGAUGCUUAGAAAUGGAACAUGGGACGAGUAUAUGUCUGCUCUGGAGCCUCCAGUAAAGGAAAAGCUGUCAAAAUAUCAAGUAUAAUAGAAUUCCAGUUUCACUUGCUGGAAUUCUUGCAUGGUAUUUGGGUCUUCUGUGCUGGGUAUUUGCUUCAGCCAUGACAAUUGUUUUGUGCUUUGUCCUAUAUGAUUGGCCACAAGUCGUUUGGGCAUAGACCAGGAUUUCGUCACGAUUUUUUAUCAUGAAAAGCAUUGGUAUUGCCGUAAUUCGAUGAAGCUUGUAGCUAUGUGCACCUCUUCAAAACAUUCAUCAGAUUUGUUGUUUGCACUUCAUGUGGUUUAAGAAAAAUGAAGAAAUGGGAUGUAGAAAUGGUGGGCAGGGGUGCAACUUCCAAGCUUUUUGGAGCAUUUUUCUUAUUUAUGUCUGGUGCUAGGAUGGCCAAUAAUUAUCUCAUUCAAGCUUCCAAUUCUUAUUCUUUUUGGCUCUGGAUUUUUUUUUUCUUUCCUCCAGUUGACAGGUUUUUGUGUGAUUUCC
rnacentral:misc_RNA from 1 species